rnacentral:rRNA from 1 species
GUAACUUCGGGAGAAGGGGUGCUUUCUUAACGGAAAGCCGCAGUGAAUAGGCCCAAGCGACUGUUUAGCAAAAACACAGCUCUCUGCGAAGCCGUAAGGCGAAGUAUAGGGGGUGACACCUGCCCGGUGCUGGAAGGUUAAGGAGAGGGGUUAGCGUAAGCGAAGCUCUGAACUGAAGCCCCAGUAAACGGCGGCCGUAACUAUAACGGUCCUAAGGUAGCGAAAUUCCUUGUCGGGUAAGUUCCGACCCGCACGAAAGGUGUAACGAUUUGGGCACUGUCUCAACCAGAGACUCGGUGAAAUUAUAGUACCUGUGAAGAUGCAGGUUACCCGCGACAGGACGGAAAGACCCCGUGGAGCUUUACUGUAGCCUGAUAUUGAAUUUUGGUACAGUUUGUACAGGAUAGGCGGGAGCCUUUGAAACCGGAGCGCUAGCUUCGGUGGAGGCGCUGGUGGGAUACCGCCCUGACUGUAUUGAAAUUCUAACCUACGGGUCUUAUCGACCCGGGAGACAGUGUCAGGUGGGCAGUUUGACUGGGGCGGUCGCCUCCUAAAGUGUAACGGAGGCGCCCAAAGGUUCCCUCAGAAUGGUUGGAAAUCAUUCGUAGAGUGCAAAGGCAUAAGGGAGCUUGACUGCGAGACCUACAAGUCGAGCAGGGACGAAAGUCGGGCUUAGUGAUCCGGUGGUUCCGCAUGGAAGGGCCAUCGCUCAACGGAUAAAAGCUACCCCGGGGAUAACAGGCUUAUCUCCCCCAAGAGUCCACAUCGACGGGGAGGUUUGGCACCUCGAUGUCGGCUCAUCGCAUCCUGGGGCUGUAGUCGGUCCCAAGGGUUGGGCUGUUCGCCCAUUAAAGCGGUACGCGAGCUGGGUUCAGAACGUCGUGAGACAGUUCGGUCCCUAUCCGUCGUGGGCGUAGGAAAUUUGAGAGGAGCUGUCCUUAGUACGAGAGGACCGGGAUGGACGCACCGCUGGUGUACCAGUUGUUCUGCCAAGGGCAUAGCUGGGUAGCUAUGUGCGGAAGGGAUAAGUGCUGAAAGCAUCUAAGCAUGAAGCCCCCCUCAAGAUGAGAUUUCCCAUAGCGUAAGCUAGUAAGAUCCCUGAAAGAUGAUCAGGUUGAUAGGUUCGAGGUGGAAGCAUGGUGACAUGUGGAGCUGACGAAUACUAAUAGAUCGAGGACUUAACCAUAUAA